rnacentral:rRNA from 1 species
GGAUAAUGUCAGAUUGUCAUGGGGGGUCACAAGACAUUCCCAUGUAAAGCUCCGGCGCCUCAAGAAGAGCCUACGUCCUAUCAGCUUGUUGGUGAGGUAAUAGCUCACCAAGGCUAUGACGGGUAGCUGGUUUGAGAAGACGACCAGUCACAUCGGAACUGAAACACUGUCCGGACUCCUACGGGAGGCUGCAGUCAAGAAUCUUCCGCAAUGGGGGAAACCCUGACGGAGCGACGCCGCGUGAUCGAUGAAGUCCUUCGGGAUGUAAAGAUCUUUUAUAUUGGAAAAAGCCCUCUUUUUGAGGGUUGAUGGUACAAUAUGAAUAAGCCAUGGCUAACCUCGUGCCAGCAGCCGCGGUAAUACGAGGAUGGCAAGCGUUACCCGGAAUUAUUGGGCGUAAAGCGUCCGCAGGCGGUCUUACAAGUCGGUUGUUAAAUCUUAGGGCUCAACCUUAAGACCGCGAUCGAAACUGUAAGACUUGAGAUAAUGAGAGGUGAAUGGAAUUCUCGGUGUAGCAGUAAAAUGCGUUAAUAUCGAGAGGAACACCAAUAGCGAAGGCAGUUCACUAGCAUUAUUCUGACGCUCAUGGACGAAAGCGUGGGUAGCGAAGGGGAUUAGAUACCCCCGUAGUCCACGCCGUAAACGCUGGAUACUAGGCAUAAAGGGAAUCGACCCCCAUUGUGCCGAAGCUAACGCGUUAAGUAUCCCGCCUGGGCAGUACGGUCGCAAGACUAAAACUUAAAGGAAUAGACGGGGACCCGCACAAGCGGUGGAGCGUGUGGUUUAAUUCGUCAUUAAGCGAAGAACCUUACCGAGGUUUGAAGCCAAAGGAAUCCGCCCGAAAGGGAUGGAGUGCCGCAAGGAACCUUUGGAUCAGGUGCUGCAUGGCCGUCGUCAGCUCGUGCCGUGAGGUGUACGGUUAAGUCCGGUAACGAGCGCAACCCUUGUUCUGUGUUACAUUCACACAGAAGACUGCCGGCGUAUAGUCGGAGGAAGGUGGGGAUGACGUCAGGUCAGCAUGGCCCUUUGACACCUCGGGCGACACACGUGCUACAAUGGCUAGCUACAAUGGGACGCCAAGCCGAGAGGCGGAGCUAAUCCUAUAAAACUAGUCUCAGUUCGGAUUGAAGGCUGAAACUCGCCUUCAUGAAGCUGGAAUCGCUAGUAAACGCAGGUCAGCCACACUGCGUUGAAUACGUUCUCGGGUCUUGUACUCACCGCCCGUCACGUCAAGCGAGUUGGUAACACCCGAAACUCUUGUCUUUUGAUGAGAACUAAGGUGGGACCAGCGAGAGGGGCGAAGUCGUAACAAGGCA